rnacentral:ncRNA from 17 species
UUUAUUUCAAACAGUACUGGUUUUCGGUGAGAACCGAAAUUAAAAGGGAACCGUGUUUAAAUCACGGGCUGUCGCGCAACUGUAAUUGACUUUAAAGUUUUUACCCAUGUUGCCCACUGUUCGCUAUGGCGAAUGGGAAGGGCGGUAAAAAUGUCAUAAGCCAGGAGACCUGCCACUACUUACUUGACAAUG